rnacentral:pre_miRNA from 1 species
UGGUAACACGAACCGGUGCUAAAGGGUCCCUGCCCCGACAACACCUGUCAGUAGCCGUUAGGCAGGACCCUUUAGCACCGGUUCGUGUUACGAA